GACGAACGCUGGCGGCGCGCCUAACACAUGCAAGUCGAACGAGCGAGAGAGAGCUUGCUUUCUUGAGCGAGUGGCGAACGGGUGAGUAACGCGUGAGGAACCUGCCUCAAAGAGGGGGACAACAGUUGGAAACGACUGCUAAUACCGCAUAAGCCCACGGUGCCGCAUGGCACAGAGGGAAAAGGAGCAAUCCGCUUUGAGAUGGCCUCGCGUCCGAUUAGCUAGUUGGUGAGGUAACGGCCCACCAAGGCGACGAUCGGUAGCCGGACUGAGAGGUUGAACGGCCACAUUGGGACUGAGACACGGCACAGACUCCUACGGGAGGCAGCAGUGGGGAAUAUUGCACAAUGGGGGAAACCCUGAUGCAGCGACGCCGCGUGGAGGAAGAAGGUCUUCGGAUUGUAAACUCCUGUUGUUGGGGAAGAUAAUGACGGUACCCAACAAGGAAGUGACGGCUAACUACGUG
rnacentral:rRNA from 1 species